AUUGAACGCUGGCGGCAGGCCUAACACAUGCAAGUCGAACGAGCGGCGGACGGGUGAGUAAUGUCUGGGAAACUGCCCGAUGGAGGGGGAUAACUACUGGACACGGUCGCUAAUACCGCAUACCAUCGGAUGUGCCCAUAUGGGAUUAGCUAGUAGGUGGGGUAACGGCUCACCUAGGCGACGAUCUCUAGCUGGUCUGAGAGGAUGACCAGCCACAUUGGAACUGAAGCACGGCCCAGACUCCUACGGGAGGCAGCAGUGGGGAAGAUUGCACAAUGGGCGCAAGCCUGAUGCAGCCAUGCGGCGUGUAUGAAGAAGGCCUUCGGGUUGUAAAGUACUUUCAGCGGGGAGGCGUUACCCGCAGAAGAAGCACCGGCUAACUCCGUGCCAGCAGCCGCGGUAAUAC
rnacentral:rRNA from 1 species